rnacentral:lncRNA from 1 species
GGUUCAAGUGAACUGUUGCGCCUUUCAGACAUGGCGGCUUUCACAUUUUUCGCUAGUGCCGACCAAAUUUGUCUCGCUGGCCGCGUCGUCGCCUGCUAAGCUGCUCCGCUUUCCGGCUCUGUAUCGGGGGGAGUUUUUCUGAUAUCGCAGUUCUACCACAUUCGUUUUCUCGACAUUCGCUCUGGCAUGCAGGCGUAUGAGAAGGUAAGGUGUGUCGGAAUUAUCAGCUCGUUCGCUUCUUCUUUCUGCUAGUCAGCACGGACCCGUGAAGCUCAAGGGGACCCCCGGUCCCGCGGAAGUGAGCUUGAAGCGACUAUCCAGGGAGGAGAUCCACAAAAAUACAGUCAUUCUACGCUUCUUUCUCCGCCGUCCCUUUGUUGGAUUGGCAAUACCCCAAGUGUAUUCCCUUCUCCAGGACGGCACUCUCUGUCUAGGUAAUUUGGUGCAAGUGGGGGAAGCACAAAACUUCUUCAACAGCUUUUUGUGACAAGCAGUUGGCGGUUAUCGGUACGUGUCUUGUGAGAACCAAUUACCCGAUCGACUGGAUGAAAAAAUCGGAACAGACACAAACAUAUUUGGAAUGGUGAAGCAUCGAAGACGCUCUUAUCAGUCCCGCAGCCCGUCUUCCGGUACGCAACCUAGAA